rnacentral:tRNA from 1 species
ACCUGGGUGGCUCUACUGGUAAAGCAUCUGACUUUGGCUCAGGUGAUGAUUCAUAGCUCGUGGGUUCGAGCCCCAUGUCAGGCU